rnacentral:rRNA from 1 species
GAGUUUGAUCCUGGCUCAGAUUGAACGCUGGCGGCAUGCCUUACACAGUGCAAGUCGAACGGCAGCACGGGAGCUUGCUCCUGGUGGCGAGUGGCGAACGGGUGAGUAAUGCAUCGGAACGUAUCCUGGAGUGGGGGAUAACGUAGCGAAAGUUACGCUAAUACCGCAUAUUCUGUGAGCAGGAAAGCGGGGGACCUUCGGGCCUCGCGCUAUCAGAUGAGCCUAGGUCGGAUUAGCUAGUUGGUGGGGUAAUGGCUCACCAAGGCGACGAUCCGUAACUGGUCUGAGAGGAUGAUCAGUCACACUGGAACUGAGACACGGUCCAGACUCCUACGGGAGGCAGCAGUGGGGAAUAUUGGACAAUGGGCGAAAGCCUGAUCCAGCCAUGCCGCGUGUGUGAAGAAGGUCUUCGGAUUGUAAAGCACUUUAAGUUGGGAGGAAGGGCAGUAAGUUAAUACCUUGCUGUUUUGACGUUACCGACAGAAUAAGCACCGGCUAACUCUGUG